UGCGUAGGUGGCGCCGUAAGUCAGGUGUGAAAUUUCGGAGCUUAACUCCGAAACUGCAUUUGAUACUGCGGUGCUUGAGGACUGGAGAGGAGACUGGAAUUCACGGUGUAGCAGUGAAAUGCGUAGAUAUCGUGAGGAAGACCAGUGGCGAAGGCGGGUCUCUGGACAGUUCCUGACACUGAGGCAAGGCCAGGGGAGCGAAACG
rnacentral:rRNA from 1 species